rnacentral:rRNA from 1 species
UACGUAGGGGGCUAGCGUUGUCCGGAAUCAUUGGGCGUAAAGAGCGUGUAGGCGGUCCGGUAAGUCCGCUGUGAAAGUCGGGGGGCUCAACCCUCGAAUGCCGGUGGAUACUGUCGGGCUAGAGUACGGAAGAGGCGAGUGGAAUUCCUGGUGUAGCGGUGAAAUGCGCAGAUAUCAGGAGGAACACCUAUUGCGAAGGCAGCUCGCUGGGACGUAACUGACGCUGGAGACGCGAAAGCGUGGGGAGCAAACAGG